rnacentral:rRNA from 1 species
GUGUCAGCCGCCGCGGUAAUACGAAGGGGGCUAGCGUUGCUCGGAAUUACUGGGCGUAAAGGGCGCGUAGGCGGACAGUUAAGUCGGGGGUGAAAGCCCGGGGCUCAACCUCGGAAUUGCCUUCGAUACUGGCUGUCUUGAGUGCGGGAGAGGUGUGUGGAACUCCGAGUGUAGAGGUGAAAUUCGUAGAUAUUCGGAAGAACACCAGUGGCGAAGGCGACACACUGGCCCGUUACUGACGCUGAGGCGCGAAAGCGUGGGGAGCAAACAGGAUUAGAAACCCUGGUAGUCC